AACCUGGUUGAUCCUGCCAGUAGUCAUAUGCUUGUCUCAAAGAUUAAGCCAUGCAUGUCUAAGUAUAAGCAAUUAUACAGCGAAACUGCGAAUGGCUCAUUAUAUAAGUUAUCGUUUAUUUGAUAGCACCUUACUACUUGGAUAACCGUGGUAAUUCUAGAGCUAAUACAUGCUAAAAAUCCCGACUUCGGAAGGGAUGUAUUUAUUAGAUACAAAACCAAUGCCCUUCGGGGCUCACUGUGAUUCAUGAUAACUUCGCGAAUCGCACAGCCUUGCGCUGGCGAUGGUUCAUUCAAAUUUCUUCCCUAUCAACUUUCGAUGUUUGGAUAUGGGCCAAACAUGGUUGCAACGGGUAACGGAGGGUUAGGGCUCGACCCCGGAGAAGGAGCCUGAGAAACGGCUACUACAUCCAAGGAAGGCAGCAGGCGCGCAAAUUACCCAAUCCCGACACGGGGAGGUAGUGACAAUAAAUACUGAUACAGGGCUCUAUAGGGUCUUGUAAUCGGAAUGAGUACAAUUUAAAUCUCUUAACGAGGAACAAUUGGAGGGCAAGUCUGGUGAACUGUUGGUGCCAGAGAGAGCCGUCGCCCAGAGAACGGCUAGUCGAGUGCUCGUCAUUGACGGGUGAGCACCGGCGAGACAACCUGGAUCGGGGGACCCUAAGGGCGCAAGCCUAUGGAAAUCCCGAGCAGAGCCCGCGAGGCCUUGUGUAGAGCGCGCAAAGGUGUCGGUCCAGCCCCCGGGCUGGGCUUAAGGUACGUGCCAAUCCCCCGUGAAAACGGGGUCCAGUGGACUAGCACCCGUCGUGCGAAGCGCUGGGGGAAGCCCACGGGCGUCCGUAACUUCAAAUGGCCAGCAGCCGCGGUAAUUCCAGCUCCAAUAGCGUAUAUUAAAGUUGUUGUGGUUAAAAAGCUCGUAGUUGAACCUUGGGCCUGGCUGGCCGGUCCGCCUCACCGCGUGCACUGGUCCGGCCGGGCCUUUCCCUCUGUGGAACCCCAUGCCCUUCACUGGGUGUGGCGGGGAAACAGGACUUUUACUUUGAAAAAAUUAGAGUGCUCCAGGCAGGCCUAUGCCCGAAUACAUUAGCAUGGAAUAAUAAAAUAGGACGUGCGGUUCUAUUUUGUUGGUUUCUAGGACCGCCGUAAUGAUUAAUAGGGACAGUCGGGGGCAUCAGUAUUCAGUUGUCAGAGGUGAAAUUCUUAGAUCUACUGAAGACUAACUACUGCGAAAGCAUUUGCCAAGGAUGUUUUCAUUAAUCAGGAACGAAAGUUAGGGGAUCGAAGACGAUCAGAUACCGUCGUAGUCUUAACCAUAAACUAUGCCGACUAGGGAUCGGACGAUGUUAUUACUUGACUCGUUCGGCACCUUACGAGAAAUCAAAGUGCUUGGGCUCCAGGGGGAGUAUGGUCGCAAGGCUGAAACUUAAAGGAAUUGACGGAAGGGCACCACCAGGGGUAAACCGCAGAAGCUCUGCCCCUGAAAGCAGCCGGGAAACCGGUGAGGUGGUUGUCCUGGCCCCCGGGCCGAACCAAGUGCUAGUCGCCUCCGGGGCGGCGACAUCCUCCAAUUGCGGGGAGUCCCUAAAGCCGACGCUACCAAGCAGGCCGCCGAAAGGCACCUGUGGCCGGGUUAACAGCCCUGGGUAUGGUAAAGACGCGCCGGAUGCCACAAUGGGUGACUCGCAGCCAAGCUCCUAACCGGUCCGCCGCAGGGAGAAGGUCCAGAGACUUAAUGGGGAUGGGUCCGCCUACGGGCGGGUCUAAGAUAAAGUCCGUCUGCCCGCGAAAGCGGUGCCAGAGCCCUAAACGGGACUGCGGCUUAAUUUGACUCAACACGGGGAAACUCACCAGGUCCAGACACAAUAAGGAUUGACAGAUUGAGAGCUCUUUCUUGAUUUUGUGGGUGGUGGUGCAUGGCCGUUCUUAGUUGGUGGAGUGAUUUGUCUGCUUAAUUGCGAUAACGAACGAGACCUUAACCUGCUAACUAGCCCGUAUUGCUCCGGCAGUACGCUGGCUUCUUAGAGGGACUAUCGGCUCAAGCCGAUGGAAGUUUGAGGCAAUAACAGGUUGACCAUUACAGGCCUGUAACAGUGGGCCUCACUAAAGAUAACCGCUAGUCCAGCAGCUUUACCUCCGUAGGGGAAGCCCCCUACUAUCGGGCGGAGGAGGCCUCAGGGCCUUUGCUGCGGGCAACACCACCUGGUACAGGGGACGCCUUCGGGCCAAUCCUGUGGCGAGCCUGGGUAGCUCCAGGCCGUCGCAACGCGCGCAAAGGGGUGGGCUCGCGAACACGCGAGCUUAAGGUACGUGCUAAUCCCAUGGGAAACCAUGCCGCUGAGACUAGGCCCGAUACGCCGAAGCUCAGGGGGGCAGCCACUGAACGGCUGCUGGGCCUCGCCGCUGGAGCCCCGGCUCCGGCGCGAGGCAACUGCUGUGAUGCCCUUAGAUGUUCUGGGCCGCACGCGCGCUACACUGACAGAGCCAGCGAGUACUCCCUUGGCCGAAAGGCCUGGGUAAUCUUGUUAAACUCUGUCGUGCUGGGGAUAGAGCAUUGCAAUUAUUGCUCUUCAACGAGGAAUCCCUAGUAAGCGCAAGUCAUCAGCUUGCGUUGAUUACGUCCCUGCCCUUUGUACACACCGCCCGUCG
rnacentral:rRNA from 1 species